UGGGGAAUAUUGCACAAUGGACGAAAGUCUGAUGCAGCGACGCCGCGUGAGGGAAGAAGGUAUUCGUAUUGUAAACCUCUGUCUUCGGGGACGAUAAUGACGGUACCCGAGGAGGAAGCACCGGCUAACUACGUGCCAGCAGCCGCGGUAAAACGUAGGGUGCGAGCGUUGUCCGGAAUUACUGGGUGUAAAGGGAGCGCAGGCGGAAAGGUAAGUUGAAUGUGAAAUCUAUGGGCUCAACCCAUAAAUUGCGUUCAAAACUAUCUUUCUUGAGUGGAGCAGAGGUAAGUGGAAUUCCAGGUGUAGCGGUGGAAUGCGUAGAUAUCUGGAGGAACACCAGUGGCGAAGGCGGCUUACUGGGCUUUAACUGACGCUGAGGCUCGAAAGCAUGGGUAGCAAACA
rnacentral:rRNA from 1 species